CCUCAUAUGUAAAGGAGGAAAAGUAAUAACACCUCUCUGAUGAAUUUGUUGCUAGAAUGUCUGGCCCACAACGACUCUGUUCAUCUCUUGGAGCUGCCUGCUUCUAUGUUGAAAGCCAGUGAAAAAGAGUAAGCAGCAUCUUUAUCCAGAAUUUCCAGAAAUCAUUCUGUUGUCUACUUUGAUUGCAUUAGUGUCUUUGAGGAUAUUCCAAACCCAAAACCUAUGGAUAAGAACAAUUUGCAUUGAACAGAGCCCCAAGUAGGCUAAAGGAAUGCUCAAAAACACACAACUCACCAAGCGAAAACAAGCAUCAAAGGUGGACUAUCUGUCCAGUAUCCAAGUAACUGCUGUGCUCUGAGUUCAGGUGAAGUGA